rnacentral:snRNA from 1 species
AGGUGUAAGGACAAUCUGGCUGUGAUGUCUGUCACUCCAUCCAUCACCAGGGUUGAUUUGGCCCAUCCAGCUGGCUUGGUGGGUGUCCCCUUCCUUCCUCAUUGCUCCGUGUAUGCCCUUCCCAAAGCAGCACAAUCUGUCAAAGAGGACAGCCUUCCCCGAAUGAUGACUCUUCUCCAGUGGGGGUUAUAGGAGUAGCUGUGUUUCUUUGCUAGAACCUCGAAACAAGCUCUCAAGGUCCCAUUUCUAGGGGAACAUACGGUAAUGAAGCUUCCAAGACUCCAGACACAUCCAGAUGAGAUGCUGCAUGUGGCAGUCUGCCUUAGUUU